rnacentral:rRNA from 1 species
GACGAACGCUGGCGGCGUGCUUAACACAUGCAAGUCGAACGGAAAGGCCCUGCUUUUGUGGGGUGCUCGAGUGGCGAACGGGUGAGUAACACGUGAGUAACCUGCCCUUGACUUUGGGAUAACUUCAGGAAACUGGGGCUAAUACCGGAUAGGAGCUCCUGCUGCAUGGUGGGGGUUGGAAAGUUUCGGCGGUUGGGGAUGGACUCGCGGCUUAUCAGCUUGUUGGUGGGGUAGUGGCUUACCAAGGCUUUGACGGGUAGCCGGCCUGAGAGGGUGACCGGCAACAUGGGAACUGGAUUACGGCCCGAACUCCAACGGGGGGCAGCAGGGGGGAAUAUGGAACAAUGGGCGGAGGCCUGAGGCGGAAAGGCCGGGUGCGGGAGGACGGCCUUCGGGUGGUAACCCGCUUUCGCCUGGGACGAAGCGUAAGGAAGGGAAAUGGGAAAGGAAGCACCGGCUAACUACGU